rnacentral:misc_RNA from 1 species
AAGUCGUAACAAGGUCUCCGUUGGUGAACCAGCGGAGGGAUCAUUACGAGAGUGUCACCACUCCCAACCCAUUGUUUACCUACCCGUCCACCGUGCUUCGGCAGGCAGUCCUGUGGGACAGGGCCUCGCCCCCCUCCGGGGGGUGCCUGCCGCUGGCCAACCAACCAUUCUAGCUGUUUUUGUAACAUCUGAGUCUUCCACAAAUAAACAAAACUUUCAACAACGGAUCUCUUGGUUCUG